CGGACCGGCGCACGGGUGCGUAACGCGUAUGCAACCUACCUUUAACAGGGGGAUAACACUGAGAAAUUGGUACUAAUACCCCAUAAUAUCAUAGAAGGCAUCUUUUAUGGUUGAAAAUUCCGAUGGUUAGAGAUGGGCAUGCGUUGCAUUAGCUAGUUGGUGGGGUAACGGCUCACCAAGGCGACGAUACAUAGGGGGACUGAGAGGUUAACCCCCACACUGGUACUGAGACACGGACCAG
rnacentral:rRNA from 1 species